CUCAUGCUUCACAGUUUCAGGUGGAAGACAAUAACUAUUAGCAUUGCAACCAGAGUUGCUUAGUGCUAAGCAACUCUUUACAAUGAUUUACAAGCAUCGAAAAGGGAUCUGCAAAAAAAGUGUGGCAUUCCUAGCCCAGGAUAACUACUUUUUAGGCUAGAUUCUAAAGCUCAAUAUAACUAUUUCAAAGGGUCUCUUUAUCUUUAAAGAGCAGUGAUUUCAAGGAUAUUGAACUAUUAUUAUUUUAAUUGUGUAAUUAAAUGAAAUCAGUAUCUCAGUAUAGUGU